GAACUCGGCUCGCAAGGAAAUUUCAACAUUGUCGAGGAAGCAUCAUUGUAUCAGUGAAGUUUCGGUUCAGUUCUUAUCCUCGAGACACUUUUGUUGUUUCCUUCUUUCCCCCAUCAGAGCUCACUCCGCGCUGAUAGGAAGUUGACUGACUGGAAUACAGGGAGAAACUAAGCCUGGGCGCAAAACACUUCUCCUGAUGAUGGUUUAUC